CUGCCCUUAGCGCAAUUGGAUAGAGUAUCAGAUUCCGAUUCUGACGGUUGGGGGUUCGAAUCCCCCAGGGCAGGCCA
rnacentral:tRNA from 1 species